rnacentral:rRNA from 1 species
CCCGAAAAAGAACCCGUCCCACAAGCAUGUGCGAUCUAAUGGGUCGGCCCACUAGAAGCGGCGUUACAGGCGAUCGGCCGCUUAUUGCUCGCAAGCGACCUAUAGCAUUUCUCGUUUUUUUUUGAACAAGAGAAGGUCCCGAAGGACCCAAACACUGCAUUAAACACAAGCCCGGAUUACAGAGCAGUUUACAUCAAGACACCACAGAAACAUGAUAUUGCAUACAAGUCCCUGUCUUUUACGAAGAGGACCCCAAACUAAAAGAUGGAAAAGCAAUCGGGUCCUUCGUUGCGUUCCCAUGGAUUGAGCUACGCCAUCGCCGGGGACGUGCCACUUGGGACGGCGGAACCGCCAUAGCCGCCGCAGGUCACCAUGGCCUCCAAACGAACACAGCAGCUGCCUCCUAUAUGGCAUCAAGGCCAGGAGGAAUAAUGAUGGCCACCUUUCGGCCUGAAGAAGCAGCAGUUCGCCUGCGGAGACCGGCGUCGUAGCUCCACUGGAUUGAAGCUGUUGCUGAUGUGCUCGAAUCCCUGCAAGAACCAUCUGACUGCCUCUCCUCAGCUCCUUCUCCACCUCCAUGGUGGCAUCCGGCUCCAAGAAGAGAAAGAGAAGCCUCUUCCAGAGGCAGGGACACCUUGAGCUUAUUACCGGAGAUGCUGGAUUGACGCCAGCUAGCAGCAGCAACAACCAACUCACCACCACCAUCAAGGUCAACUCCAGCAGCCACCGCACGCGGCUCGGGCGCGCCAGCGACACGGCCUCCAUCGGCAUAAAGCCAAACUCCGGCAUCUCGCCAAACUCCACUAAGGAAACAACUAAACUAGACCUACUACUUAUAGUAGAGCUCCGAGCACCUUCCCCAUCUCUUCCCCAACCGGCAGCACCGGCGGCGGAGAUCCGGAGUCGGGCCCGACUCUUCUUUCCCUUUCUCCUCUGUUCGAGAGGAGUGAAAAGGGAGGCGACCGGAGGACUCGAGAUCUCGGG